GUUCUCGCCUAUCGAUAGAUAGCAGGUUGCUUCCAAGCUCAAACCAUUUGAAACAGAAUUGCUACUUUUUUCUUGUUAUUGAUAGAGUGGUAUUCUCCGCCCCUGUCAAAUAAAGUAGAGGGGGAGAACUGGAAGAGAGAAGGAAAAAGAGCAAAAGAUUGACAAGUCUAAUGGGGGAAGAAUGGCUGACACGUUGACUGCCUUCGAUACUAGAAAAAAAAACCCAAGCGGUCUAACCUAACCCCCAGGGCGGAACCCAACCGAAAGGCGCUAGACGGACUAAGGGCAAGCGAGAUAAAGAAAGCAGCUGGCCCUAUGUGUAAAACCUUGCCGCGGGAGAGUCUUUCUCCAAUGAGAAUAAAGAAAGUUUUUGGGCAAGACAAGAAAGGAACUCGCCCUUUGACACCAAGGGAUAAGAGCUGAUUGCUGGCGAUGACUUGGUGAAGGGAAUCUAUGAGAGAAGGUUCUCGAACCGGGUUACGACCGAAUAGAGCGCGGAACCAACGAGUUCAGUCGAACAAGGUAACGAGUCUAAGGGAAGGAUCA
rnacentral:lncRNA from 1 species